AUUGAACGCUGGCGGCAUGCCUUACACAUGCAAGUCGAACGGUAACAGGUCUUCGGAUGCUGACGAGUGGCGAACGGGUGAGUAAUACAUCGGAACGUGCCCGAUCGUGGGGGAUAACGAGGCGAAAGCUUUGCUAAUACCGCAUACGAUCUACGGAUGAAAGCGGGGGAUCUUCGGACCUCGCGCGGACGGAGCGGCCGAUGGUAGAUUAGGUAGUUGGUGGGAUAAAAGCUUACCAAGCCGACGAUCUGUAGCUGGUCUGAGAGGAUGAUCAGCCACACUGGGACUGAGACACGGCCCAGACUCCUACGGGAGGCAGCAGUGGGGAAUUUUGGACAAUGGGCGAAAGCCUGAUCCAGCCAUGCCGCGUGCAGGAUGAAGGCCUUCGGGUUGUAAACUGCUUUUGUACGGAACGAAAAGCCUCUUUCUAAUAAAGAGGGGUCAUGACGGUACCGUAAGAAUAAGCACCGGCUAACUACGUG
rnacentral:rRNA from 1 species